AAGCCCCACAAUCCAGCCAUCAACACCAUCCGUCACACAAAAUACAACCAACGUAGGGAGUAAAACAGAACGUCCACCUUAUGAAUGUCUGACGAACAUCUCAAACAACAAGGGAUUGAUUAGUUGACCAGCAUUUGUCCAGAAUGGUCUAGAUGCCACCCAGAGUUAUUUGAGAGUCAGGCAGUUUCCUAACGAAUUAAACAAACAAAGAAACAAAUAUAUUUCCAGAAUGAUCUAUUGGAGAGCUACAUAUAUAUUCUACUCCAGGAAAAGACCUUGACAAAUUCUGGUUUGUUGAGAAGGAAGCUGCGUGAACAUACAAAGUCACCAGGAGAUAAGGACUGGCCUGACGAGAGGGAAAAACAGUUGGUAUCAAUUCGGACGUCAUCUUCUUCCGGCUUCAUGUUUUCCUACUGCCACAAAAAUCUAAUUUUCUCCGAAUUGUUAUCAUCCAUCAAGCUCCUUUGCGCGAGAUACUCACUAAUAUGGUUCAUAACAACUUCGCGAUAAGGCUGUGCGUUAUUGCGCUUCCACAAUCUCUACCAGAUGGCUGGCAUCCUAAUUGCGCACCGCACAAAUAAAACGAGUGUGUGUGUAACAAUAUUAA